GCUCCACAUGGCUAGAAGAAGUGUCAGAAGAUCUUGGAUUCUUUUGAAGUUGAAGACGGUUGAGAAUUACAUCACUUGGCUUCAUCACGUGGAACCUUGGGGAAACAUUGCUCCACUGUCAAAAGGAUGUUGUGUGGAUCUGAUCUGAGGUCCAGGACAUUCUGUGCCAUUGUGCCAAUACUCUGGAGUGCCCUCUCAAGGGAAAGCAUCAUUUUUGCUGGUUUCAUCUUUGCUGAUUUUCAAAUGACGAAGCUCAUAUCACUUCUGGAUUACCAGCAGAGUGGUGUCUCUGCAUGCCUGAAUUCAACAGCCAUUCUCCAUAUAGCUGACUUCCAGCAGAGCAGCAGCCAGGUGACCUUGGUUGGGCUCCCUGUUUCACUUGAACCUCAAGGAAUCUUGAGCAGCUCUGUUUUCUUUGACAAAACUGUGUGUGUUUGUACCACUCCAUUUGGCACCUGCUGACUCUCCUGUAGCUCUACUGGCUGUCCAGUUUCCCUGCCUAUAUAUGCCUAUAUUUAAACCACUCCACACCACAUUACAUUUGCCUAUACCUAUGCCACAAUGUCGGCAUGCCUGGACCUACUCACCAUGGUGCAUCAGCUUCAUUCCUCAUGCAGCACUCCACAGCUCUAGGAGGCAACAGCAUUAUUUUCCUGGGAUGAAGGCCCAGCAGACUUCUAGCAGAGACAUCAGGAUUAAGUGAAGCAACACAGAGACUUCUCUUGUUCGUUGUCAUGCAGUGCUGAAAUAUGUCCCCAGCACCAUAGCAUGGUCAUAAUGCAAUGCAAUAAUAUUGUAUAGUAGCAAUUACAUUUUCAAUUUAUCUUUGUAAUGGUGUCACUAGCCUUUGCCAUUGUAAAAUGGAUUUGUAAAUAAUAGCUUAUUUCACAGUCAGAGACAACACCAAUCCUGAGAGGAAGUUCUCAUUAAAGCUCUUGGGAGCAUUCCAUUUGGAAUAACAUCCAACUCAACCCUAUGCCAUAAAGCCAAUCAGGCUAAUAUGUCUUGCCAUGGAUAUAUUAAUCUGCUAAUGGAUCUUACCAACUCCCCACCCCCACCCCACCCCCCACAAGGAUAGUUUUCACUCUUCCUUGAGCAGCAGGGAGUUGUAGAAGAUUUUCUAAUGUUUAGCUUUCUUUCUAAUGGAAGAUAAAUGGGGUCUUCUAUAGUUAUGCAAAGUUGACUUUAUAUUCAAAUACUUGGUUGAAAUCCACAGUUUUCCAAGUUUAUUUUGUUCCUCCAUAUGACUUUGAGACAGUUCACACAAAUGUCAUUCAAAAUGAAUGGCAUUCGUGUGAAGUGGCCGAGAGUUAUAUGGAGAAACAAACUUGGGUACUCCAAUAAACAACCAUAUGGAUAAACUUUAGUGCAAACUGUCUGGUUACAGAGUGGCAGACACAUCACUUCUGUGAUCACAGCUGCAUUUUCCCAAACUGUUGCAAUGACUGAAAAUGCUGUGAAUGUCACAGUAUGAUUCACACUAAAUUUCUCCAUUCAGUUGUGUACCUGACUCCAUAUUUUUGGGGAGAAAAAGUACUGGUUUUCCCCCACCAUGAGCCAGCCCUCUGUGUCUGUGGAAAACCUACAUAAAUAGCAAUCCAAUUUAGUUAUAUUUCUUAAUUUCUGAACAUUUUGGCUCAAUUUAUUUGGCUUAGGAAAGCCGAAGAAAGACAACGCAAGAUAAUAAUAAUAACGCAAGAUAAUAAUAUUUAUUGGACCAGCUAGGUCUUAAAAUUGUAUAGCAAGCUUUGAAGGUACACUGGCCUUCAGAGACAAAGCAGAGAAUGAGAAAUAUACAUUGUUUUGGGGAACUGAACAACUCUGGACUAUUUGGCUAGAUCAGACCUGCAUAGAUUAGACUUCUGGCCUAUCACAUACCUGCUAACAUGUCCCUAUUUUUGCAUUCACCUCAACAGGAAAGGAGGGACAUGUUGGCAGGUAUGCAAUCAAGCUAAUGGAGGCCUCCAGCUGUCUUUUGGCCUACUAGGUCAAAGCAUCUUCCUGUGUUUAUUUGUAUUAAUUUAUUCCCUGUAUUUGUAUGCUGCUUCCUAGCAAGGCUCAAUAUACAGGUGGCUUAUUGAACCCUUGUAAGAGACUAUACAUUGUGCAGACACGAGCUAGCUAAAGAGGAAGCUAUGAAGCAUCCGUUUGUAUUUUUGCUUGGAACACUUAAGCCUGAAGAAGAAUUCUAUACAACUUGAAGCUACCUUGAAGUAUUUCGAAGAACAGCUAGUCCAAUAAAAUUUAUAAUCUCGGUGUUUUGCAGUAUUUGCAAUCAGAACAGAAAUGUAUGGCAAUAUGAAAAGAACGACUGGAUUAAGCUAUGAUUUCUGGGGGGAACCAGGAACAAGUUAAGAGCAACUCUCAUUUCUUGCUUAACUUGAGAGAUGAGAGGCCACAGACUGAGAGAGAUCUGUAAACCAUUUUGCUUUAAAUAAAAUAUAAAAUUUGUUGGUGA